UACAGAGGUCUCAACCGUUGUUCGGAUUCAUUGGGCGUAAAGGGUGCGUAGGCGGCGGGGUAAGUCAGGUGUGAAAUCUCGGGGCUCAACCCCGAAACUGCACUUGAUACUGCCUCGCUUGAGUACUGGAGAGGAGACUGGAAUUUACGGUGUAGCAGUGAAAUUCGUAGAUAUCGGGAGGAACACCAGCGGCGAAGGCGGCCAUCUGGACAGAUAUUGACGCUGAUGUGCGAAAGCGUGGGGAGCAAACAGG
rnacentral:rRNA from 1 species